GAUGAACGCUAGCGGCAGGCUUAAUACAUGCAAGUCGAGGGGCAGCACGGUUAGCAAUAACUGGUGGCGACCGGCGCACGGGUGCGUAACACGUAUACAAUCUACCUUAAACAGGGGGAUAGCCUUUCGAAAGAGAGAUUAAUACCCCGUAAUAAAUUGAACGGCAUCGUUUGAUUUUGAAAGCUCCGGCGGUUUGAGAUGAGUAUGCGUCUGAUUAGCUAGUUGGUGAGGUAACGGCUCACCAAGGCGACGAUCAGUAGGGGAUCUGAGAGGACUAACCCCCCACACUGGUACUGAGACACGGACCAGACUCCUACGGGAGGCAGCAGUAAGGAAUAUUGGUCAAUGGAGGCAACUCUGAACCAGCCAUGCCGCGUGCAGGAUGACGGCCCUAUGGGUUGUAAACUGCUUUUAUACAAGAGAAAACCCUGGUACGUGUACCAGGUUGAUAGUAUUGUAAGAAUAAGCAUCGGCUAACUUCGUGCCAGCAGCCGCGGUAAU
rnacentral:rRNA from 1 species